UACGGGGGGGGCAAGCGUUGUUCGGAAUUACUGGGCGUAAAGGGCUCGUAGGCGGCCAACUAAGUCGGAUGUGAAAUCCCCAGGCUUAACCUGGGAACUGCAUCCGAUACUGGAUGGCUUGAAUCCGGGAGAGGGAUGCAGAAUUCCAGGUGUAGCGGUGAAAUGCGUAGAUAUCUGGAGGAACACCGGUGGCGAAGGCGGUUCUCUGGGCCUGUACUGACGCUGAGGAACGAAAGCGUGGGGAGCGAACAGG
rnacentral:rRNA from 1 species